UAUUCGUCACUAUAGGGGGUACAUCUUCGCGGCUCACCACAGCCCACUUCUCCGUCGUAAUAUCAGCAUUCUGCAGUUCGAGGAGUGUUUGCAAGUUAUUCUCAAGCUCCUGGAACUGCAGAAUGCUGAUAUUACGAUAGGGGGUACAUCUUCGCGGCUCACCACAGCCCACUUCUCCGUCGUAAUAUCAGCAUUCUGCAGUUCGAGGAGUGUUUGCAGUUAAUUCUCAAGCUCCUGGAACUGCAGAAUGCUGAUAUUACGACGGAGAAGUGGGCUGUGGUGAGCCGCGAAGAUGUACACCCUAUAGUGACGGAUAUUUGCCCCAAUAAACAUGUUGAGAUCUGGAUGGAUGCGGACAGUGUGGAUAUCAUCAAGGAGAGAUGCAACCGCCUCAAACUUUGUUUUUGGAUGAUCAAAUUUGAGUUUUGAUGCUAGAAUACUUCCUUGGGAUUUUCAGGAUUUCAGAAACGUUCGCCGUCUAGAAUUUAAUGAGGUCUUUCCUGUGACUAAGUACAACGGCCGGCUCUUCAUCGCAGCAGCCAAUGAAGUCACAAUCGAUUGGGUGGUGCGAAAAAUAUGUUCCAUGUGAUGCCUUACCGGAUCGACUUAAAAUGAACGCAAAUUACGGCGGCUUUCUCCAUACGAGGAGCUUUGCAAACUCUUCUCACUGGAUUCGAGAACCUUUUUGAGAACCUAUUUUCGUACCUUUGGCCUUUUCUUUUAACCCCGCGUUUGCAAUCAAAUGUGGAUGGCUGUAAGUAUUCGCUACUAUAUUCUGAGGAGCGCUCAGUGCCAUAGAGCUGGCUACCAUCCGAUGACUAACUCAAUGCUAGAGUUCGAUGAACUCUGACUAUCAACCAGGAACAUAAUCAUAAUCAGACCAUAAUCAGACCCACAAAAAAGGACGACAACGGAGCAACUUCUGUCAUGAGAUCGGACUCGGCCAACGUUACAUCUGAAGCAGAAAUCUCCAAUGUUCCCGGCUGAAUUUUGAGCAGACAUUCAAGCUCUGUCUUAAGGUCGUAUAUGGUAGCUGAGAUCGAUAGCUUGAUGACCAAUUGAUGGAAAAAAACACUUGGUCCCAACUAUGAAAAAUUUUCAGAAGUAAAGCAAAGUUUUAUUUUUGAUGUUGCCUGUAUGAGUUCACGAAGUAGAAUCAUUGAAGUACUGUACUCUCUGAACGGGUCGAAUUUUACAAACAUCCCAGGACUUCUUGGAUUUCAAAAAUUUGUGAUUUGCUUGUCUAGCUGAAAAUACUAUAAUUAUAUUUAUAUUAAAACAUUAUAUAUUUUAAAA